UAACAGAAGUUUUCAUCAUCAUCAUCUUCGUGGUAUAUACAAUCAGGAGGAAUUCAACAAGCAACCGGCAAGUCUCAGCCAUGCUUCCCCUUCCAAACCCGCUCUAUCCUACUACUAUUAGCUAGCUAUAGUAGACAGAGCUAUACUAAUUGGUGCUCCAGCAGCUGAUGUACAUGACCGUCCUCAACCCUCCUCGGCCUUCUCCGCUCUCUCUCUCCGUACGCCGCCGCGGAGCAGGCAGCUUCUUGCCCUGCGAGACGCCGGCGCGUUGGCCUUGGCCGCCUUGUGGANGGACCGCAGCGCGUAGUUCCAGCGGCAGAGUCCGCCCUGGUCCUUGAGCGCCUCCACUGCGCCCACGCUCAUCGCCACCAUCCAAGACGCCUUCGCUGCACCCGCCAUUGGAUCGAUCUCUUCUUUCUUGCUGAGAAUUGGACCGGAUUGUUUGUGAUUUCUUCUUUUGGUUUGCAGUGAACUAUUGUAUGCUGUGUUGAGGAUGAGGAGGAAGGAGAGGGGCGGGUUAUAUAGAGGAGGAGGGCAGGAGGCUGUGGAGAGGAGAAGGACGGGGUUGGGGCGAAACAGGAGGCGCCGCGCGUUGGUUUCCCAGUAUACCGGGUGCUCUGCUCUGCUUGAUUAGGCCGGAAUUCGCAUUCGUCCAGGUUCGGUGGCCCGAGUUGUCUCUGUUCGCGGUAUGGGAGAUGGUUGUCCGUUGCGAGGAGCCCACAUGGGCAGGAGUAACCGAUAAGGACGCGUGUCGCUGCAGAUCCACGCAGGGCCAGUCCUGUAUGGCCUAAUUUUGGGGUUUAUGAAACUUAGACGAUCAGCUGUGAGCUAUUUUUCCUCUCUCAGCAACAGGUAAAACUUCUUCAGAGUAAGGAACAAAGCAAUUCUUUCUGUACUGUACUCCUACCUAUCUCGCUCUCAAAGUUUCAGCAAAAUCUGCCAAAUCUACUACUCCCUCCGUUUCGAAAUGUUUGACACCGUUGACUUUUUAGCACAUGUUUGACCGUUCGUCUUAUUCAAAAAUUUUUGUGAAAUAUGUAAAAUUAUAUGCCNUACAUAAAAAUAUAUUUAACAAUGAAUCAAAUGAUAGAAAAAGAAUUAAUAAUUNCUUAAAUUUUUUGAAUAAGACGAACGGUCAACAUGUGCUAAAAAGUCAACGGCGUCAAACAUUUCGAAACGGAGGGAGUAUAAUAUGAUUCUGGAUCCUGUACUUGCAUUCUUUGGUGAGCGAGUAAACAAGUGAGCAUUUCUUUUCACGCACCAACUCGCAUCGCCCGACGACGUUUUCUUCGGGUGAUGGUGAGAGCGGAGUUGUGGGAGGCUGCUGGACAGGGGAAACCAGAGGCUGGAGCACAUGGUUUUCCAAGAUGUCAGGGGCUUAAUAAUUGCAUAAUACUUCUCGUUCCAGCUUAAUUUAUUGAUGCAUUGCAUUCUGGGUAUGCAAUAGACAGAAGACACCUGUGCUUUUCCGCACCAGUCUGAUGACUCUGAUCCAAUUCCUCCGACUCAAUAUCGUUUAGCACAAACUGGGAAAGAAACUGUAUUGUGAUUUUGCUACAUCAGUUUAAUUUGGUAAAAAAAAGAAUGGCAGAAAUUAGGAUUGGUUGAGUGGUAUAACGAAGGAAACAAGAAGGAAUUAUUCAGAUAGGAGUAUUCAUAGGACUGGAUAAAUUGAUGGCGCCACUGCCUGAUUUUCGUGCGUGGUAAUGUAUUGACAACCUGAUGACUGAUCUCUGAUCAUGAUCUCAUCAGCAAUUCAACUUUCAACGUGGAUGUUUAUUGUUGUAAUCAAAGUGCAGGGUUCAUACUGUCGUAUCAUUUUUGUCAAGAUAAAUACUAGUGGUUCUUCCCCGUCAAAAUCCAAAUCAUGUACAACCAUGAAAAAUGCCUGUCAAAAUCUCUCAAGGCAAAAGCAUUGAUAACCCAUGAGACAUCGAGACAUCAAGUAUACUCAAGUAACAGAAGUUUUCAUCAUCAUCAUCGUGGUAUAUACAACCCGGAGGAAAUUAACAAGCAACCGGCAAGUCUCAGCCAUGGUUGCCACUUCCAAGUUCCAACCUGACUCCUAUAGCAAAGCUAGUAGUAGAAGAGUAGAAGGCACAGCUAUACUAAUUGGUACUCCAGCAGCUGAUGUACAUGACCGUCCUCAACCCUUCCUCGGCCUUCUCCGCUCUCCUCCUCUCCGCCACCGCCGCCGCGGAGGCAGGCAGCUUCUUGCCCCGCGAGACGCCGGCGCGCGCGUUGGCCUUGGCGGCGCGGUGGAUGGACCGCAGCGCGUAGUUCCAGCGGCAGAGCCCCGCCUGGUCCUUGAGCGCCUCCACCGCGCCCACGCUCAUCGCCACCAUCCACGACGCCUUCGCUGCACCCGCCAUCGAUCGACGAUCUCUUCUUGAGCUUCCCGCUGUUAUACUGAUCGCUGAAUUCAGGGGACUAGUAGCGAGCAGUGAAGUACUACUGAUAGGUGAUUGGUGAUUGGUGCUAUGUUUGAUGAGAAUCUGGUGGGGAGUGGACGGUGGGAUUUAUACUUGAACGGGGGAGGGCGACGGGGUCAUUCAGUGGUGCGGGCUGAAUCAGGUGUCCGCGCGCGUUGGUUUUCCCAGAUACCGGGUGCGUCCCGGCUCAGUGGUGGCCCGCCUCGUCUCGUCUAGUCUCGUCUGCUGCAUCAUCGGCACAUCGCGGCGGGGAAGCGGUUUGUCCGUCGCGUCUCGCGUGGGGCGGGGUGCGGGCGGAAAUAAGAUAGGAACAACGUUACGUGACGAGGACUCGUGCCCCACACAACUGUUGCAACUUGCAACAUGGAGUAUGCAACUGGGCUAAUGGGCCUGGAAUUUGGGCCGACGAAGCUGAACGCAGGUAGAGGGCCGAGUCUCACGAAGAUAGAAUUUUUUUCAUUUUUAAUUUUUUUUCUUUUAAUAUUUACAGAAAUAAUCUAUUGGCGCAAAAAAUUACAAAAAUAGACCCUGCCGUCCUAAUGGAGGGCGGCAAGCUGACGUAGCAGACGGCGGCUCGACGGCGCCGUCUGCAAAAAAUUGCAUUUAGCCCCUAAAGUUUGGCUGGUACUUUUUGCAUCUGGACCCCUUGCCGCCCUACUAUAGGGCGGUAAGGGGCCCAGAUGCAAAAAGUACUAGGCCCGGGCUGGCUUUUUUGCAUGGGGCCCCUUGCCGCCCUAAUAGAGAACGGCAAGGGUUUUCGUGAAAAAAACCCUCCCUCCCCCGUCUGUCGUCACCGCCCGUCCCUCCCUCGUUUGCCACGUCAGCUUGCCGCUCUAGUGGAGGGCGGCAGGGUCUAUUUUUGUAAUUUUUUACGCUGAUGGAUUAUUUCUGUAAAUAUUAAAAGAAAAAAAUUUAAAAAUAAAAAAAAUUCCACGAAGAUAUACAAGUGCCCUAUUGUGUCAAGCUUUUCGAUGCACAUGUCACACUCCAGUAAUCACGCGGUCGACACGAGGGAAUAUCCGUGUGAUUUUGGCUGCGCUCCCGGCUGUCGGCCUGUACGGCUGUGUGAUCUCCGAUCCGGGUGCUGGAAAUGCAGCGUUCUGCUUGAGUCAUUUUCUGUGUGCUAUAGGCAAUUGCCAAUUGACAUGAGCUUACUUGGUUCACUUGAUUUCUUCGUGCCUUGCACGCCGCCACUGCGAAGGUAAUGGAUUUUUCAGAGACUCGGAGUAUUGCGUUGAUUGGUGGCUUAAAAGUUUUAACUAUCGUUUGGUUCGGGUCAGGUGCGUUAAUUUGUUUAGCUGGCUAUUGGUAAAGUCGGAUCUGUGACAGAAGCACAUGAGUUGCGACCAGACUGCAGCUCCUCAGAUGCUAAACAAGUGACUGCAUAAUAAAAAUCGUUGGGCUGGAUGAGUUUGUCAGCUGAGGAGCACAUUUUCCUUUCCCUCCUAAAGCUAGCUGUUCGAAGUCAAAGAUCAAAUGCUAGCAGAUUGAGUUGGUAUGGUAUAUGCCUUGGUCCAACACAGUAUGCAUGCUCAUAUGAACUUCACCUCUUUGAGGCAACUGUUUUUCCAAAAAAAUGAAUUUUUUAUUUGCAUGUAAACUUCGUCGAUGUUAGAGAAGCUAGCAAACACGCUUUCUCUUGUCCAUGCAGCAUAUACAAUCCACUCUCCCUUUUCUUAAAAAAAAAAACUUAGUGCAGUAUGCUCAAUUAGACAAUUGAGGGUGGUUUUUGUCCCUCGAAGAAUGGGCAUACACAAUACACUCAUUUUGUACAUACCAAUUAAAAAAAUCAUAUUUUUUAGAAAAAUAAUAAGAUAGAUUAAACUUGUAAUAUUUCACUUUACGGACAUGAAAAUUAAAAUUGUAUCCAUAGAAGUGUACAUAAAACAAAUCACGACUGUAAAUAUAGUAUACACUUUUGAUCGUUAUUGUUUCUAUUUAUAUAAGUCGAAGUCAUUUUUUUUUUAAAAAAAUUAAUGUUUGUGUCUUUGGGUGACGGUGAGCUAGAGCGGAGUUAUGGGAGCUGGUAGGGAAAACCGUUAGCUGGAGGACAUGGCUGUGUUCGGAGUCCAGUGAUGGAAGCCAAUCCCUCCCGUACGGAAAACGAAGCGGUCCUUUAGCGCGUGAUUAAUUAAGUAUUAGCUAAUUUUUUUAAAAAAAAAUGAAUUAAUUUGAUUUUUAAGCAACUUUCGUAUAGAAAACUUUUUAAAAAAAACGCAUCGUUUAGUAGUUUAAAAAACGUGCGCGCGGAAAAUGAGGAAGAUGGGUUGGGAACAUGGGGAUGCAAAGACAGCUGAUGUGGUAGAGUCCUUGGAUAGACCAUGUGAGGCCGGUUUGGCUGUUCAAUGGAGCAUCCUGUUUAGGUAGGACUUGGAUUUAGGGCCUGAUCGGAACUGCUAUCUGCUGCUGCCGCUAUGGCUGUGGCUGUUUUUCAGCUGCUGCCGCUGCAGCCAUUUUUAGCUCUUGCAGCCACAGUUGCUGCAGCAGCAAGCAGUAUCGAUCACACCCUUUAAUUCCAAAUGCUGUGCCGUACGACGGUACGAGGUACGAGCAGGUCAGCGGGUCACCAGUGUUGUGUGAAGCCAAGCUGUAUUCACUAGCUCGGGAUAGUUGGCACAAACGGCAUGAAAAUGUGGCGCCGUAAAUAAGUGAAAUACAGCUGCGUACUUUUUGAACACGCUGCAAACAUGAGACGGAGAAAUUUCAAUGCAAAACGGAAAAUAAAACUGCAAACAUGCGACGGAGAAAACUCAAUGCAAAACGAAAAAAAAAAUGGGAGCCUGUCAGAGAACCUGAGAGCCAUCCUGGCCAGGCGAGGCCCGGCAAGAAACGAUCCUCUACAGCCGUGGGAUCAAAUCAGCCAGUGAUCCGGCCGUUAAUCACGCUCUGGCCCACAGGUCAUGCGUCAUCAACCAAGCUUAAGUGCUUGCCUCCUUAUUAGUCAAGGAUGCAACGGUACGAGCCUAUAGAACAGAUCCCGUUCAAGUAAGGUCGUGCCACGGAUCAUCUGCACAACUCUUUUAAAUCAGCUUUGAUCUAUGUGGAUAGCCGAGGUGGUACUAAUACUAGUCUUUGUUGUCGUCCAAUUGCGUAAUGGGCCGGCCCAUACUGCAAUACAUGUCCUGAAAGGCUUCAUGGCCCACUACGAAAUGCUUUUCUCCUACAGUUUAUCUUACUUCUUCACAUCACGUGGUUUCCAACGUACCCAGUGUUCCCGGCUUCCAGCAUUUGCUGGUAGCACCAGUAGAAGACGCCUGUCUUGUGCUAUGGUCCCUGACUGCACAUCUGAUUCCUCCAAGAUCCAUGCAUGCCUGAUAACUUUAAGUUGCUUCAGAAGAACUUUAAGUGAUCUGUUCGUAUGUUUAAAGAUUCCUUGAUAAAAUAAGUUGCAGUUCUGAAAAUCCUAGAACUUGGAGACCUGGAUGAAUUACUGUCAUCUGAACCAAAUAAGAGAUGGCCUUAGCCACUAGCUAGAGAGACUGAAAUUCAGGGGCAACAAAUCCACGAGCCAACGUGAUCGCAAUUCACAUGGCAAAAAAACCACGGGGCAAUUUAGUAACAAGAAAUUUUCAUCAUCAUCUUGAUAUAUAUACACAUCAAGGAAGCAACCGGCCAAAUCUCAAGCCAUGGUUUGCUACUUCAGCUCUAGCUACGUACUAGUAUCUCGAGUUUAUACACUAAUUAGUACUCCAGCAGCUGAUGUACAUGACCGUCCUCAACCCCUCCUCGGCCUUCUCCGCUCUCCUCCUCUCCGCCACCGCCGCCGCGGAGGCAGGCAGCUUCUUGCCCUGCGAGACGCCGGCGGCGUUGGCCUUGGCUGCCUUGUGGAUGGACCGCAGCGCGUAGUUCCAGCGGCAGAGUCCGCCCUGGUCCUUGAGCGCCUCCACGGCGCCCACGCUCAUCGCCACCAUCCACGACGCCUUCGCUGCACCCGCCAUUGAUGAGAUUGAUCCGAUGAUCUCCUCUUUAAAUUUCUCGCGCUGUUGUUGUUGUGAUUUGUGAACUGAAUUGAACGAUGCUUUGUUGUUGUUGUUGAGGAGGAGGGUUGGAGUGGAGCUGGAUUUAUACUGGAGGGAGGCCAGUGGGGGUGGCGCGAAACAGGUGGCCGCGCUCGCUGGUUUUCCCGCGAUACCGGGUGCUUCCUUCAGCCGCUUGCUCCUCGCUAUCUGUCCCGGCUGGGUUGGUGACUCACCAUCUUGGCGCCCGUCCCGUCUCGUCUUUGUCCCACACGCGCAAGUGCGCAACUGGCAGAUUCGUGGGGAUUCGUGGGGAUAAUAUGGGUUUAUAUGGAGUAAGGUGACAAGGACGCGCGCCACUAGCGAGCUGAUGCAUCCCACACAGUUCUCUUCUCUCGGCGCCUAAUCCUUUUUGGGCUCUCGAAUCUUAACAUGGACGAAUCUAAGGCCCAUGUGAUCAUACGAAGGCCCGGCCUGGCUGUGUGUCAAGCUAACGUUAUCCGGUUGCACACCACCUCUUCCUCCUGUCCCUCGUGUUUGUGUCACGUUCGAUUCUCCCAAGCUGAUCUUGUGUCGCCGGAAUUGAGCAGGGGGGGACGUGCCGCGACGGAUCGAGGCGAUGCGGCAGGCGGUCGGCUUGUGCAAGGCCCAUCAACUUCGGCCGGCCGCGCUGCUGUCCCCGCGGCCGUUGCUCCGGCGAGCGUCCCCCUGCCUCCCUGCAGGUGGUUACAAGUUACACUACCUCCCACUGCAUCGGUUCUUCGCGUGUGUGCUUACUGCUUAGUGCUAACUGGAUGCAAUUGUGCAGCGGGAGCGGGUGGGGAGCUCAGGAGGGCCAGCGCCGCGUCGCGGUUGGUGGUCAGGAGGAGAUGCCAAGAAGAGGAGCAGCAGCAACAGCAGGAGGAGGAAGAGCGGAGCAAUGGCGGUGGUGGUGAUGGGGAGCAAGAGCAGAGAACAUUUCUCAGCUUGGAGGAGGCCGGGCUGGUGGAGAUGUCCGGCCUCAGCACACACGAGCGAUUCCUCUGCCGCCUCACCGUAAGUGUGCAUCUCUACUGAUCGAUUGCAAAGAUAUUACAGUGGCGAGCAGAUUAGCAUAUCAAAGUUGUGAAGUUUAGGUGAGGUGUUUGUCUCAACGAGCCGUUGACGAUGACGAGUAACCAUGUGAUUUUUUGUGACAGAUAUCGUCGUUGAAUCUCUUGAGAGUGAUUUCGGAGCAAGAAGGCGUCCCCAUUGAGGAGCUCAACGCAGGCCUUGUUUGCGACUGGUUCGUCAAGGACAAGCUCAAGAGGGAGCAGAACGUGGGCUCAGCUGUCCUGCAGUGGGACGACCCUGGUUUCUAGCUCCAUCAUCCGUUUAUGGAUGAUGGUGAUUUGGUGGUCUUGCCGGCGUCUCCACCGAGAAACAGGGUUCAUCAAGUCAACAUUUUUCUCGGUUGAUAGAGCUCACUGAUCACUUUCUUUGAAUUAAAGAGGGUUCCUUUGUCUUGCGACACUCGUUGUGCCUAAUUGGGCUUUUUACAUGUCAGUACAUGACGACCUGUAUCACUUCCUUUGUAUGCCAGAGACCAAAGCCAGAAACACAGCUUAAUUACGAAGAAUCAGUUUCAAGAAUAUAUGGAUCAGAAAUUGCUGUCGGAUUGUUUUCAACUUUUCAUUUCUAGCAUUCAGUUGAACAUUUUACUCAUCAAUUUUCAAAGUACUUGCAAAUCCUAGAAAGCCCCAAUACUUCUUGUCGAUAGUGUAAGGCUAGGAGCUUGUUCAUAAGGUCAUCUGACUUCUUUUGGCAAACAAUAACUUCACGCAGGUGUUUUGAGUCAAGGAGAUACACCAAAAAUGACUUUAUGCGUGCUACAGAAUGUAGCCAAGUACAUAUGCCCAGAUGUGCCAAAAAAAAUUCCGCAAGUAUGGGGAGAUAUUACAGGCACGACAGCAAAUGCCAAGUAGCUAACAAAAGUAUUUGUACGUCCAUCAAACAGAAUUACAGUGGACCCUGGCCCAUGGGUGAAUCAUCGGCCAACAAAGAUGCCUACAAACACACAUAAUCACAGUACAUAUCUUUUGUUUCCUUAGGAAAUGAUUUCGCUGGACUUCUUAUCAAAAGAGUGAGUGCACCAGAUGCAAGUCCAACGGGCUCACCAACUCCUUCAGCCUCUCCAUUUCCUUCUGCAAUCACAAUAAUGCAACUUAUAUCUCUAUGCUCACUAUUCAGGCAUAAAAAAAAUCAAAACAGGAAAACACCAAAUGUCUGAGAUGUAUGAGUUCAUGUCAUAUUGCAUGCUGUUUCAGGCAUAAAAGAAUCAAAACAGGAAAAGAGUUGAUGUCAUAUUACAUGCUGUUUCACCAAGUAGGUUGUCUUAAAAGAAGAUACUUGGAUCUACAACAUAUCCAUUUUGCAGACAGAACAAUCAUUGACAGUUCGUAAGUGAAGCAAUCAUAACAAAUGAAACAGGGGGGAGAGCAGCAUCCCACAAAACAGGGAAUUAAAUCAUAACAAAGGCCCAGUAAAGCUGAAUGAAAACAAUAUCAUGCAACAGCGCAUUGCACACACCCUCAACUUAACAAGGGCCACAAGCAUGAGUUAAGAGAUAGUGCCUCAAAUUUAUCACUUGAUGUCAUACUAUCUACUGCUUCCUCAAGUAUGUUCUCCCUGAAUCAGGGACUUGAAUCCACAGAAUAUAUAUUUUGCAGACAUGAUCAUCGUUGAUAACAACUAGAAAAGGCACAAAACUCAGGGCAUGGCUCUUUGAUAGGAUACAUGAUGAGCACAACAAGACUUCCCUAUGACUAAAAAAUUCAACAGAAUAUCAAAUGCAUCAGAUUUAUCUGUUGAUGUCAUGUUAUCCACUGAUUUGUCAAGUAGGUUCUCCCUGAAACAGGGACUUGAGUCCACAGGGCAUCCAUUUUGCAGACAAUAUCAUCAUUCGCAAAAAACAUGAACAUAAGUUUGAAUACAUCUCUAUCAAGUAAUAAUGCUCAGUAAAAACUUGUAACAAAUAGGAGUACCAACAAGUAGGUUCAGACCUCAGUAACAGCCCAUUAAUCUCAUUAUAAUGUAGGCCCCCCAAGUAGGUUCUCCCUGACUAACAGGGACUUGGAGAAACCUACAUCUCACAUUUUGGGCACUGCAUCAUAGGUCACAUUCUAUUACCAUCUAAAAUAUCUUCUCUUACAUACAAGACUAUGGCUACAAAAGCGAGUUACAAUUCAAAAAAUCAUGAGCUACUUAAUAGUAGACUUCAGUUUAAAAAGCCCAUAUAACUCAUUACAAUGUAGGACCCCAAGUAGGUUCAAACCUGAAAAACAGGCCCUUGAAGCUACCUACAUCUCACACAUUGGGCAACUCUUCAUAGUCUACUAAUGAAACAAAAAAAAUACAACAGAUGGCAACUCAAAUAUUGCUUGAACAAGCUUGCACUAUAAUUAAGAAUACUGUAAAGAGGGCUUUCAAAUUUAUCUCAUACAAUUCAUAUAGCGUGAUAACCUCAGAAAAAGCAAUCAAAACCGUACUAAAUUACGCACCAAACAAAAGCAUUGAACAUGAUUGCCGAGAUUGUCUUAAACCACGUUUCUCAGCAAACAGAGACUUAAAAAAUAAUAAUUAAUGUGGUGAGACAUUUUAGAAGCAUAACCACCAGAUUACUGUUAUCUCCCACGUUAAACUCACCAGAAAUCGAUUUUUGCCUCCAUGACUGGGCAACCAUGAGAAAGAACAAUCUCAAGGAGCCAAAGGUGAGGAGAGGCACGCACAUGGCAAAUACUACCUCAAGAUUUCAUUCGAUUUUUGCACAUCCUCUAUAGCUAUAAUAAUAAACAAAUUAAUCAAGAGUCUUACCCAUCAUGAAUCGGUCUUCUCUGGCGAAUUAGAGGACGGCGGAGAAGACCCAGAUGCCGCGGGAGGAGCAUCGUGUGAGCAACAACCACCGGGGCCGUGAUGAUGGUGGUGGUGAUGGUGGUGCUUCUUGGGCUGCGGCUGCCGCAGCGGCUUGCGCAUGUCGUAGGCGUCCUCGCCGUCGGCGUAGUACUUGGCCUCGACGUCGUGGAUCUGGUACCCGAGCGUGGAGGUGUAGAGGUUGAAGGCCGCGCGGUUGGAGCGGCGGACGUGGAGGGAGACGUACUCGGCGCCGAACACCUGGUCCAUGGCAGCCUGCGCGGCGGACAUGAGCUUGGUGGCGAGGCCGAGCUUGCGGUGGGAGCGGAGCACGGCGAGGGAGGUGAUGUGGCCGUGGCAAGGCUCCGAGGGGUCCUCCUCCAUCUUCGCGAGCACGUAGCCGACGAUCCGGCCGCCGUAAUCCUCCGCCACGAACAGCAGCUGCGGCCACGACAGCAUGUGGUAGAGGUAGUACUUCAUCUGGUAGUUCUCCGGCAGGCACAUCAGGUUGCACGCCUGCAUCGCCAGCAGGUCGUCGAUCGUCGCCUGCCGUAUGCACACCAUCUUCGCCUUCGCCGCCGCCGCCGCCGACUACUUCUCCGGCGUGAUGUGGUGGUGGGUGAUCGCGAUGCGGACGGUGGUGGUGGCGGCGGCCUCUCCUGCGGAUUUAAUAGAGGUGAGGAGGGGAAGAGACCUUGACCUAACCCUAGAGGAAAACGGGCCGUGUAUAUGGAAAGUGGGCUCGUGUAUUGAUAUUAAUGGGCCUUGAUGGGCCGGCCCAUUGCUAUUGCUACAUCGAGAAGGGCGCGCACAACCUAGCCCACUCCGCCGCCGCCGCUCGUCCACAGCUCGCCGCCGCGGCGCCCCUCCCGGCGACGACUGAUGCUCCGCCCCCUAGCCGCCUCCACCCCGCCGUCCCCGAGCAGCUCGCCGACGCUGACCAGAGCAGAGGCCCGUACGACGGUCUCCGAACUGCUCGCGAAGUAGGGGAAGCCGCCACCGCGUUGUCGUCGCCUAAGCUUCGCCGGUGCUCGCAGGGUUUUGGUUUGGUUUGGUUUGGUCCGGUGAGUUCCUUUGCUUUGGUCAGAUAUUUCAUUAGUGGAUUAGUAUGAAAUUAGAGGAUGCUAUUCGGCUAAUAGAAUAUGGACGUAUGGAACCAAUCGUGGUGUUUUGAUAUCACAUUUUGCUGCUUGUUUACUGUUAUCGAUGCAGUGAGGGUUUGAUCAGGAAAGUGCUUGGGCUCAAGUCUGAAGCUGAACCAACACCGGCAAUGUGAGUUAUCAUGUUCAUGGUAUAUUUAAGCCAUUAGUAUCUGGUGGCUGGUGGAGCGAUGGUAUUAGAUAAGUACAUUGAUAUUGGUUGUUAUGUCGAAUUGCUUUGGGCUUUGCUUAGAAUGAACUAUUUGGUUGCACAGAGCAUCCUAUUAACUGUCACCUGAUACUUACACUGCGACAGACAUGACGCUUGACUCAUUAUAUAUUCACUGUCAACUUGUGUUUCAGGGGAGACGAAAGCAACACACUCCGUGUACUUGUGGCAACCGAUUGCCAUCUCGGCUACAUGGAAAAGGACGAGAUUCGUAGGUUUGAUUCAUUUGAGGCGUUUGAAGAGAUAUGCUCAUUAGCAGAGCAGAAUAAGGUUUGUAGGAGCUGCACAUUUUUCCAUUCUUUUCUGCUUGUGUUGCAAAAUUUAUUGGCCUGCUCAUUCUGUUGGGGGAUAACCUUCUAUUUAUGAAUUAUGAAUUAUAAUAUGAUGGAAAUCAUACUGAAUUGCAGGUUGAUUUUGUGCUACUUGGUGGUGACCUUUUCCAUGAGAACAAACCUUCACGUUCAACCUUAGUUAAGACCAUUGAGAUUCUACGGCGUUACUGCUUGAAUGACCAGCCAGUGAAGUUCCAGGUUGUCAGUGAUCAGACAAUCAACUUUCCAAACAGGUUUUGACGAUGAGUUAUAUCACUCUAUCAUGCCAUUUUUUUCUUGAGUGUACUCUAAAUUUGGUGAUCCCUCAAUGUAAUCUUUCAUAAAAGUGUCACUUUUGCUGAAAUUUAGGUUUGAUAUAUCAUACGUGUAUGCAGAUAUGCAUUUUCCCCUUAAUUUUCUUACAUGAAUUUUCUUGGUACAAUCACAGAUUCGGCCAAGUAAAUUAUGAAGAUCCAAACUUCAAUGUUGGAUUGCCUGUGUUCACUAUCCAUGGAAACCAUGAUGAUCCAGCUGGUGUGGUAUGAGAAUCUCGUUCUGACAUUCUGUUAUUAUGGUUAUUAUGCUUAUGAUGGGUGCCAGCUUUUCUCAUGCAUUCUUGCCCCUCUCUGUAGGAUAAUCUCUCUGCAAUUGAUAUUCUCUCAGCCUGCAAUCUUGUAAAUUAUUUUGGGAAGAUGGACCUUGGUGGCUCUGGUGUUGGUGAAAUAGCAGUCUAUCCUGUACUCGUAAAAAAGGUGCGCUACUUCAGCUGCAGGCAAACCAUGAACUCUCACAUGUUAAUCCUCUGUUUUUCCUGUUAUUUCAGGGUACAACUUUUGUUGCGCUCUAUGGCCUUGGAAACAUUAGAGAUGAACGAUUAAACAGGAUGUUUCAGGUGCAUUUCCAUUGACUUUUCUAAGAAUUUGAAGUUAAUUCGCAACUUGGCAGCACUAGAGCAAGAAACUUUCUUGAUCAUUUGAACAUUGAUAUCAUAUUUUUAUAUCAAUUAUUCAGACACCUCAUGCUGUACAAUGGAUGCGACCUGAAACUCAAGAUGGAAUGUCAGUAUCUGACUGGUUCAAUAUUCUUGUUCUUCAUCAGAAUAGGUAUGGGCGGUGAAUGAAUGGUGACAAACUGUAGUGGAAUGUCAGUAUCUGACUGGUUCAAUAUUCUUGUUCAUUUUUUUAUAAUCUUCAUGCCGCUUACUGAAAAGAAAAUUGAAACCUGAAAUCAUACAGGAUAAAAACAAACCCUAAAAGCGCAAUCAAUGAGCAUUUCUUACCACGUUUUCUGGACUUUAUAGUAUGGGGCCAUGAGCAUGAAUGCCUUAUUGAUCCCCAGGUAAUGACUUGGAUUUUAUUUGAUUUCUUUUUUAAAAAAUAACGUGAAUAUGCACUUGUCAUAUGAUCAAUUGUUUAUAGGAGGUACCUGGGAUGGGUUUUCACAUCACUCAACCAGGCUCAUCAGUUGCAACCUCCCUGAUUGAUGGUGAAGCAAAACCAAAGCAUGUUCUCUUGUUAGAAAUCAAGGUCCUAUUGAAAGCUCUCCUCUUCAUGUUGAACAAAACUUCAGUUUGGUGUUUUCUCAUUCCAUUUUUAUUCUUAAACAGGGAAACCAGUAUAGGCCAACCAAAAUACCUUUGAGAUCCGUUAGGCCCUUUCACUAUGCUGAGGUAUGAUACCCCUCAUUUCAUGCUUAUUUCAGUGCUUGGGUCUCACUGUCCUAAUAUAUAGGUUGUGUUAAAAGAUGAAGUGGAUGUUGAUCCCAAUGAUCAGGCCUCUGUUCUUGAACAUUUGGAUAAAAUUGUGAGUUUUCAGUUUUCCAUGAUUUGUUAUAAUCUUUUCCAUUUUAUUGAGAAGCAUGGUGGCAUGCUGGUGUGGAAUUGGUUCAACAUUGGCUUAUUUGCCCGUUUGUUGUCAGUCUAGUUUUCUUUGUUGAAUGAAGUCGUUAACCCUCAAUCUCAUAAUACUCAAUUGUUUCAGGUAAGAAAUCUUAUUAAGAAGAGUAGUCAGCCAACAGCCAGUAGACCAGAGACCAAACUUCCACUAAUUAGAAUCAAGGUAAAAAAAACAGAAGAGAUGUACUCCGCACAAAUUAAUCAAGACAGGAACAAUGAAAGUGCUCAUAUUGUUCUGUAGGUAGAUUACUCUGGGUUUUCAACAAUUAAUCCACAACGAUUUGGUCAGAAGUAUGUCGGGAAGGUAUCUGAGUCCCUAAUUAGGUUCUUACUCAGAAUUCUUACCUGAAUGAGCUUAUUUGAUAGCUUCUUGUUGUAAGGUUGCAAACCCCCAGGAUAUUCUUAUCUUCUCAAAAUCAGCAAAAAAGCGUCAGACUACUGGAGGUAUUCCUUUAUGUUUAAGAAAGACAGUGCACAAGUUAUUUACAUAGUGGCAGAAUGCAUCAAGCUAUGAGGAGCAACAGAUGCCAUGUUAUUCUGACUUUUUUGUUUAACUGACUAUGUCUAUGUAUAUAUACAGUAGGCAAUAUUGAUGACUCUGAGAAACUUCGUCCCGAGGAACUAAACCAACAAACUAUUGAAGCUUUGGUUGCCGAAAAUAACUUGGUACUUCUUGAAACUACAUAUUCUGUAUUAUUUUGCAGUUUUGCUCUUCUCCUAGGAGAAAUAAUUGCUGCUAUCUGUUUUUCUUGAUGGGAUUCCAUUUAGUUGUAUAUAUGAUGAUCAUAAAUGUAAAACAAAGAUCUUGCCUUUUUCCUAUACUGCCUUAUGCACUAAAUGGAUGGUAAUGUGUUUAUUCUUGACUCCUACAGUAUUAGGCUGAAAUAUAAUUAAAUUUUCAGAAAUAUAAUGGCAAGAAAGGUACUUCUGGCUAGGAGGCCCAUUAUGGUAGCUAUUGAAUAACAGCCAAUAAUUUAAUGAGCGACAUCUCUAUCUGGUCCCAUUACACUUCACCAUAUGAGCUUUUUACAAUAAUAGCCUGAGACUAACAGUGGUACUGUGAAACAAGGACUAUUUAAUUGUCUUAGUUGGGUUUGUGGGUCUGGAAUUCCUGAUUUUGUUCUAUAGAUUCUUUGGAUAGCUUCUUACAUCCUUCUUUUUUUUAAAAAAAAAUAUUAGAGUAACAAUAUAAGCUUCAUGACACAAAUCUUGUUUCCAGAAAAUGGAGAUUCUUCCAGUUGAUGACUUGGACAUUGCAUUGCAUGAUUUUGUGAGCAAGGAUGACAAGAUGGCGUUUUAUGCCUGUUUGCAGCGGAAUCUUGAAGAAACCAGAGUAUGCUUUGCUACAUUUUCUAUUGUUGGUUUUAGUUCUUUUUUUUUAUCAAAGGGCCGUAGCUCUCCAUUUCCAUUAAUAGAAAUGAGACUAGAAUACAGAGGUAGCCUUUUUUAGUUCUUAUUUGAUUGCUUGCUGCCUGAUAAAAUUGCAUGCAUCUAAAAUUGAAAUCCUUUGUUGAAACCUGCAGACUAAAUUGAAUUCAGAGGCAGAUAAAUUUAAAAUAGAGGAAGAAGAUAUAAUAGUCAAAGUUGGCGAGUGCAUGCAGGUAUUUGGAGCAAUCUACUAUUGUUCCUAUGAGGUUGUGGGGUGAUUAAAAGGUUAAUAUUUUUAACUACUUAGGAACGUGUGAAGGAAAGGUCCCUCCGCUCCAAGGAAGAUUCACGGUUCACGUCAAGCUCUCAAAACUUGGUGGUUUCAAUGUCCUUAUGCCCUUAAUGUUGUAUGCCAUUUUUUCAUUGUUGCUGAUUGUUUGUUGCUCUUAUGAUACUUGACCAGGAUACUGGAGGUAGAUCUGUUACAGCUCAAAGUAACCUGAACUCUUUCAGUGAUGAUGAAGACACCAGGGAGAUGCUUCUCGGUGCAAGAACAACUAAUGCUGGAAGGAAAGCAUCUGGAUUUACAAGACCCUCUAAAGAUGCUACCGAUGUUGCCAAAACUGGAACUUCCAGAAGGGGCAGGGGAAGAGGGACGGCCUCAAUGAAGCAGACCACUCUGAAUUUCAGCCAAUCAAGGUUAUUAAAUUAAUUGCUACCUUGCAUUUAUACCAUAACUGUGCAACCUAUGCCAAAAUGGAAUAGCCAUGGUACAGUCUAAUUUGCAUUUUGAGUGUUAAAGGUGUUUGAAAUCGUGUGCCCUGGUUUUAACUCUGCAGUAGAUGCUCCAAUGCUAAUUUUACCAUCCAAUAUUUUGCAGGUCAAGUGCUGCUAUCCGCAGUGAGGAAGUGCAAUCUUCUUCAGAUGAGGAAAAUGAGACUAAUGAAGCAAACGAAGUUGUUGAAUCUUCAGUAUGAUCAUUUCCUCUAUUUGUAGUUCUGUACUUUUUCUGUAUUAAUACGCAUAAAUAUAAUGUGCGCUUUUGCUCGUGGCAAAUGACCUGGUGAACUGAAACAUUGUAUAUUCUUGAAUACUCACAGGAACCGGAGGAGAGUCCCCAACAAACUGGACGGAAAAGGGCAGCUCCUAGAGGUGGUAGAGGUAGGGGUAGAGGCGCUACUGCAAAAAGGGGUAGAAAAGCAGAUAUUUCAUCCAUCCAGAGCAUGCUGAUGAGCAAAGAUGAUGAUGACGAUGAUGAAGAUGACAGGCCGAAGAAACCUCCACCUCGGGUAAGUGAAUCACCUUGACAUUUUGUCAGUUUGACGGGUCUUCUUGUGGUUUGUCAUUAAAUUGUUUGCAUUGUGUUGUGUACACGCACUGAUACUACAAACCGUUGGUUUUACGACCUACAAACUGUUUUUUUUUUAGAAUACGACCUACAAACUGUUGGUUUUACGACUUUGUGUUACUCUGCAGGUCACUAGGAACUACGGAGCUGUUAGGAGGAGAUGACCUCUUGUUAGUCUAAGUCUGCCUGGCAAAUUAAGUUUCCAAUGAACUACUGGAACGCCAACUCGCGUGAUUUGUACAUUCCUUAGCCUCAUGGAUUUACGUGCUUGUAGCUGCUAAAUGCUGGAUGUCAGUUUGUACAUUGGCAACAUGACAUUCAUGCGGGCACAAGGGAUUCUCAUCAUCAAUAGUAGGUGUUCUUCAGAGACUAGAAUAUACGUUUUCAUGAUUCAGGCGUACCUGACCGAGCGUCCGAAAGUUGUUCACGACAUAACACUCUGCGUUGGCCAAACCAAUACUAAUUGAUCAUGCAAAAGUCGUAAACUGGAUACAUACGGAGAAUGGUUUAUGCGUGCAUAUAACUAUACAAAAAUCUGCGAGCCGAACUGCCAAAGGUUCCCUGGAACCUAUAGGUCACGCACUCGCGCAUAUCUACUUAAACUACUUUUCUUGGUACCAUGUCCAGUGUUCGCUUAUCGCCACAAAUUAGCUGCCUUGCUAGAUAUGCCAAAUGCUCGUCUGUGGAUUCAUAUAGUUUGGUGGAGGAGCUCCGUAAGGAGGCCUGGGGACUGGAGCUGAGUACUGUGAUCCAGAGUUGUGCACAUCUGUUGUCAGUCAAAGAAAGAUGUGUUAGUUUUACUUCAAUGUUAGCACACUGUCAGUCAAAGAAAGAUCUGUAGUUUUACUUCACGGGUAGCAACAUAAUCUCUAAUUCCAAGUAGCCAAUUAAUAGGUCAAAGAACCCUAUGAUGAUGAGUGCUAAUGUACUCAAAUGUGCUAUAAAAGUUUCUAGUUACAGAGCUUAUUUUUCUCACUUCGUAAUUUUAAGAGUUUGUAUAGUGAAUCUGUAAUCCACCAAGUUGAAUUAGCUUGUAACAAAAUGAACUGAAAAGAAAGAGCCUGAGCUAGCCACUUACCGUGAGAAUGCUGCAUAUAGGGCAUGUAAUUGCCACUGCCAGAAUUGUACACGGCAGGAUGUGUAUUGAUAGGCCUUCCAACAGAAUUUGCCGCUUCAUAGCCAGAUCUCCCAUAGGCUUCAUUUGACACAACUGCAUAGGACUGGUUCCUGUCACCAAUGGGAGCUUGAAUUCUUUGUUGCAUAUCGGUGUUCAUGCUGUAAGGAUUAGGAUUGUAUGGACCUGGGCCACCAUUGGAAUCAUAUACGCUAUUUCCAUGACCGGGAAAUGGGGUAUUUGGAUAUGUUGAAUGGCUUUGGUAUUGGUUUGGGGUACUGGGGUAGUUCAGAUGAAUUUGAUGUUGGGUUGGGUUACUUGGGUAGCUCGAGUGAAUUUGAUCUUGAUAAGGGGUACUUGGGUAGCUUGUCGAUUGGGCUUGAUGUUGGUAUGGGGUGCUUGGAUGGUUUGAUUGGAUUUGUUGAUGUUGGUAUGGGGUAUUUGGGUAGCUGCUUAAGUGGACUUGAUGGUGGUUAAUCCCUGCUGGACUCUGGAAACCCUGAACACCCCAUGCUGCCUGUUGGUGUGUCAAGGCCCUUGGUGUCUGCACACCACUUCCAUAUGGACUGUCCAUUUGUCGGUGAUAACCUGGUGACAGAGAUGGCAUUGUCCCAGCAAUAGUCCCACUAUAUGUUGAGCUCACCUGUAAGCAUCUACGUUAGGACUUGUACAUGAAUCAAAAGAUCAAGCUAACCCAUGAUGACAAAACAUAGGACCAAAUCCAUAAGCAGCAAUAAUGGUAACAUACAUUUUGGUUACUGAAAUUGGCAUAGCUGGGAGUUGAGGCUUUUGGCAGCAAACGUUUCAUCUCAUCCAGGUUUCUCUGGGCUUCAUCCCUGGAAAGCUCUACAAAGAUUACCUGCACAUGUUGAAAAGUGUAAUGAGCUAAGGAAAAACUUGAUAGUAACCAAAAGAUGGAGUACAGCAAUGCCAAGCAACCUCGUCAAAGGGCUCUUUAGAAUCAGGCAUGUCCUUGGACAGUGGUAAGACGAAAUUAGCUGAAAAUAGGUGUUUAUGGCAAUAUAGUAAGUAAUUGAUGCAUAGAACAUAGACAAUGAACAUUUCGAGAUAGCAGUGAUGGAUUUGGCUGGAUACCUGUCAUCUCAUUUACUGCAUCAGCUGGCACAUCCUUCCCCAUUUCCUUGAAACGCUUUGCUGCCCGGACCUUGAGUUCACUUGGCGAUGGGAACACAACCACAGCAGUCUGUUGCACAACAAGUAUAUGAAAUUAAACACCCCACAAACGCAUCCAACAUUGACAUUUAUUAAUUCAGCAACAACACGGCAAACUGUGAAACUGUUAUCCUUUCGCAGCUUACCUUACGGUAGUUUGCAAAUGGCCUUAGUUUGCGACUACGGGCAUUUUUGUAAACAUUAGUCUGAUCGAUGAUGUAGUUGCGAGGGAUCUUCGCAGCCCUGGUCAGCAAUGUGUUGAAAAUCAUUGUGGCACGAUCCAUCAAACGUUCAAAGCGUUCACCGUAGUUAUUCUUACGCAGCAAUCCUGGCACCUGCAAAAGGAAAGUCAUAAACUGAAAAUAGUGGAAAUCAUAGAGCAUGCAAGUUGUGAAACAAGCAUAGGAACCUUCAUUUGCACCAAUGCAAGAUUAGUCCCGAGAAGGAUAAAGCGCUUCUCCUUGUGCUCCUUGAUACACUUCUCUGCCCAUGUUGACUUCCCUGAAGCUGGGAGACCAACCAUCAUCAUGAUUUCACACUCUUUUUGUUCUGCAAACACAGGGCCAGAUACCGCAUUCCCAUCGACACAAGCUGAGGGCCAGAGCUCAUAACCAUCAACAAGCUGCAAUCCAUCCUCCUUGCUGAAUUGCAUCUCGACAACAACAUUCUUCAGCAACACAUGUGGAAAGAUUGCCGACUCCCAUUGCAUUGAGCUCACAGGAGAUUCAACCAAACCCAGCCCUUUGUCACUUGCAUCGAAGUGCUUGGCAAUGCCAAGCCACUCCCCAUUCCUGGAGAACCCGAUCGACGCCAACGGCUUGGAAUCAAGGUCCACGGCGCAGACAACCGUAUCCCCAACCCCAAACUUGACGCCAUACUCCACAAACUUGCCCUGGUGGGAGAAUUUCCCCGUGCCCCCAAACCCGAAGCUGUGGCCGGUCUCCCCGAGGGCCCCCACGGGGUCGCCGCCCCUCGAGACCCCGACGCGGCAGAGGUGCUGCUGGUCCGCGGCCGUGUCCUCCAUCUCCACGGCCUGCUCGGCGACGACCUUGCACCCGAAGCAGUACUUCCCGCCACCCCUCACGCCCACCGUGGCGCGCGCGCCCGACCAGCAGUAGGCGAACCCGCCAUCAUGCAGCGCCUCCCCCCGGAGCCCGCCGCCGCCGACGUCGAAAUCUGGCCGCCACACAGCAACGGAAGAGGGAGUGGUGAGCAGAGCGCGUGAUCGAUUGCAACCUGCAAAGGAAGAACCGUGCGUACCGAGGUCGCAGUCCGCCGGGUUGAGGCCCACGCGGGCAGGCUGGGGUUCCGGCGGGGCGUCACCGUCGCGGCGGGGGCGCUUCGGCGGAGGCGAUCGCGCGGCCUCCUCCUCCUCCCGCUCCGGCGAGGCCAUCGGCUAGGGCUCGCUGGGUUUCGCGAGGCGAGAGAGAGAAAGAGAGAGAGAGAGAGAGGAGGGGGGGGGGGGGUCGCUUCGUGCGCGCUUCGGCUUCGAUGGUUCGAGCUCGUCGUGGUCGGUUCGGUCGGUACGGAUGGUGGCAAAGGGAAGGAGAAGGCUUUAGAUAUAGGGCUGGGCUCUUGUAUGGUGCGGGCCUUAUGGGCUAUUGGGAAUCUGAAUUAGGCCGGCCUAGUACACAUUUCGGCCUUGUUCGUUUAAUUUCACACCAUAAUAGGUGUGAGAUUAAUCUCUUUCAAAUCCUCCUUAAUCUCAUUAGACUUCUGGAGCCUCGUUCAUUAGACUUCUGGAAAUAUGUGGUGUGAUUGCUUUUUCUUUCGAUAAUCCACUCUAUAAUCUAGUAAUCCACUUUAAAGAUGCUUAUUUUAGAUUAUUGGGUGGCUACCAGCUAACAAAUAGCUUAUAAUCCAGAGAAACAAACAACUCAAAGCUUAUUCUAUGUCGGCUUAUUAUAAUUCAGCUUACAGUAAUCUGGCUUAAUAAUAUAUAUUACAAUAAUUUUAAGCUGAAACAAACAGAGGCUUAGUUUAUUUAUUGAGAGAAUACGGUAGUGCAGAAGGUGGAGAACGGCUCCGCUUUUACACUAGUAGACACAAGGAAGACAUACGUGUUACCGUUUGCGCAUAAUACCAUAUAUUUCAACAGCUGAAACACACUUGUGUUUACGUAAAUGCAGUGGCGGAGCUAGAAACAAUAAAUUUUAUCUGCCAUGAAGGUGACUAUCAGUAAAUUAUUUGAAUUUUGCUUAAAUUCAAAUUAAUCUAAUUUUUUUUUGUCAAAUGGAGGGAGGUUAUGGUGGUUAUUCUUCUUUAUGUACUCCAGUAGGAAAUAAAACAAUAAAUGCAUGACUAAGAUUGAACAAUAAUGAAUCUGUUGGAUCAGUUGGCAAGUGUAAAUGAUUGUACUAACCGGGAAAUUGGUAUUAGCUAUUAAUUUAUGAAGUUAUGUAUUUAUUUUUCUUCAUGCAGACAUGUGCUCCUACGUAUCAAAACCAUGUUUCAUUUUUUACUUCCCCCAGCCACAGAUCCUUGUUGGUAUCCUUUCCAAAACAGUUAAAACCAGCUUAUCAUACUAGUAAAAAUAUUAUUAUUGUCACAACCAUCUAUCAACUUCCUAAUUAAUGGCUACCUGUAGUAAACAAAUCAAAAUGGGUAAACCAAACCAUAACUAAUUAAAAAACAAUUUACACUUGUCUGCAUAUUUUUUUAAAAAAUAUUCGAUAAUAUUGAGUUUGUUAUAGUUUAUCACUAUACUUUUAUAUACUCCAUCCAUCCCAUAAAGAUUUCAUUUUUUUUCUUUUUCCAACACUUGACUACCCAUCUUACUUAAAUUUUUUAUGGAUUUUUUAUAUAGUCGCAUAUAAAGUGCUAUUUAUAUUUUAUCAUCUAAUAAAAAUAGAAAUACUGAUGAUAGAAAAAUUUUAAAUAAGAUGAAAAGUUAAAUGUUAUAUAAAGACUGAAAAAUAGAGUUUUUAUGGGAGAGAGGGAGUAAUACGGAGUAAUAAUACACAAGUUUAUCAAUUCUUUUACGACGUGCUAUUGGGAUGGUAUAGAAUGGACUUCCUUUUCUUUUCCUACCUCACCUAACAUUUGAUGAAGAGAACGGUGAACCGGGAAAAGCCCUGUGAAUUUUCAAACUUACCCAGUCAGUGGAUGGGAUGCUAUGCGAUCAUGUGAGCGACAAGUUACAAGAUCCAAACCAGUCGUGGAGCAGUCAAGCCGCGCACGCAGAGAGAGGCAGGCAAGGCAACGCAACGAAGGCGAAGCUGCCUGCCUCUGCCGCGCCGCGCCGCGCGAGAUCUGGGCGGAAGGGAAGGCGCGGCGCGACGCGACGCACGAGAGAAACAAAAGGAAAAGGGAGGGGCGGGGGGGACAAAAACCUUCGCCGCACAAAGCGGUUACCGCGUCCCCCCAGAUCUCGUCGCCGUGCCGUGCCGUGCCCUGCCCUUGCCCCGCUGGAUACCGGCGGCGCACCGGCGCGGCCGCGCGAUCCGAUGAGGCGGCGGCCGUUCCUCGACCAGCGGCGGCCGUCGUCGUUCAAGCGCCGGUGGCAGCAGCGCCCGUGGUGGUUCCGCCUCGCGGUCACCCUCCUCCUCGCCCUCGCCUGCCUCUUCCUCCUGCUCGCGCUCCGGGGCUCGCCCGACCCCGACCCGGUGGUGCUCCCCUCCACCGACUCGUCCAGAUCCGCGGCCACCACCUCCCCUCUCCUCC
rnacentral:lncRNA from 1 species